AGUCUGCAGAGAGUCAGAGAGAACAGAAACUGUUGAAUGAAAGAACCAUAAGAAUAACUUAUUCUUAAAAGAAUGCAAUCCUAAUGAUAUGCCAUAGCUAGAUAUGUUCAAUCAUAUGGGCCAAGUUGAUAGACUUGAUCCCCUGUAUCUACUCUACAUAAGAGAGGAAACAUAAGGAUGUGAUGUGGUCUCAGGGAGUCAAGUAAAGUCUGGAGAGAAAGCAGUGCAAUUCUGGAAGUUCUAUAUCUCUCCAGUUUACCCAAGUUUCCAGGGCAGGGGAGAACUGUAGAUGACAAUGGGAAGUAAAAUAAGCAAUGAUGGUAAGCAUGGGUCAACAUUCAAGCACAACCCUACAUGCAUCUGGUGCACAAAACAUGAUGAAAUGUAUAAAUAAAUUACCAAAGAAAAAAGAAAGUACAUCAGUCCUAUUGGGAGCCUGCACCAUUUGUGAGGGAUCUUUCUCGGCAAUCCAAUGGGUAUCCAACCUAAUGGGGAUGUGUAGUUUUCUAUCCACAGCAAAUAAAACAGGGGUGGUGGGUUUUUGUUUCUUUUUGGCAGUAGCUGAGGGUGAGGACAGACCCCACCUAUCUACCUUGUAGAUAGAGAGAGAUUGCUAUGAGCAUCGCCUGGCCAUUGCUAGACACCCCCCCCCGGGGGGGCUUCCAGGUCAGAUGGAGGCCCUAGUGGGUUAGGGGCAGAACUGGCAGUUAGCUCAAGGGGUGCGGUGGGUUGAGAAAAGGGACUUUCCUCACACCCAAGGGUCAGUUAGAGUCUCUUGCCUUUCAGAACGCAUGAACCUCGGUCAGCUUCCAGUCUCUUCCAGGACUUCCAGCCUAGCAGCGAGACCCUGGAAGAAAAAAAAGGCGGGGGGGGGGGGGGGUUGAGGGCACGACAUUUGUCUAGCUCAGGAGGUGUGGGUGGGUUGGGAGGCUUCUGCUGCCCCUAGGUCUGUUGGAGCCGCCCCCUAGUGUCUUCAGGAAAUGGGAAUUUCCUCCAUGAAUGGCCAACCUAAAUCCAACUUGCCCAAGGGUUAUACACCUGAAAUCCAGGCCCUGGAUCUGAGGGACUGGGGCCCUAGGAGGAGGCUAGCUGAAAGAAUUGGGUGGCCUUGGAGGCUCCCUUGUCCCCAGACUCUGUUAGUGUCGUCGCCGAGGAACAUCCGUAAGCCAAGAAGUGUCCAUGAGUGCCCCCUAAGAGUGUCCAGGCCCGCGUCAGAUCUGUAAAGACUUGUUUCUGGAUCCUUUCGAGUAGGUUAUUUUUCUUCUUUUAGAAGGAUGUUAGUGUAUUUUGUUUUUCUUUCUCCAAACCACCCUAUUUGAAUUUCCUACAUGGGAUUUAAAGAGAGACAGACCGAGAGAGAAAGAGACCACAGAUUUAGGGUGGGGAGGCUAUCUAUUUCAGUGACCAGGAGAAAAAAGGCCAAGGCAUUUUUUCAAGUCAAUGUAAAAACUGAACAUUUGAGAAAUCUAUAAAGGGAAAUAGGUAAAAUCCUUCCAGGAACAUGCUGGUUAGCCUAAAUGCUUCUUCUGUUAGGAGGCAGAAACAGGAAAUUCCAUGUAAAGAUGGCAGGAGGCUAGGUCACAGAAUCCCUUCCAUCAA
rnacentral:lncRNA from 1 species